rnacentral:hammerhead_ribozyme from 1 species
GUACAACUGAAGAGUCCUAGACUAGGACGAAACAACUUUCCAGUAC